UGUCUGGCGGCUUUAGCGCGGUGGUCCCACCUGACCCCAUGCCGAACUCAGAAGUGAAACGCCGUAGCGCCGAUGGUAGUGUGGGGUUUCCCCAUGUGAGAGUAGGGAACUGCCAGACAU
rnacentral:rRNA from 1 species